GAUGAACGCUGGCGGCGUGCCUAAUACAUGCAAGUCGAGCGAACAGACGAGGAGCUUGCUCCUCUGACGUUAGCGGCGGACGGGUGAGUAACACGUGGAUAACCUACCUAUAAGACUGGGAUAACUUCGGGAAACCGGAGCUAAUACCGGAUAAUAUAUUGAACCGCAUGGUUCAAUAGUGAAAGACGGUUUUGCUGUCACUUAUAGAUGGAUCCGCGCCGCAUUAGCUAGUUGGUAAGGUGACGGCUUACCAAGGCAACGAUGCGUAGCCGACCUGAGAGGGUGAUCGGCCACACUGGAACUGAGACACGGUCCAGACUCCUACGGGAGGCAGCAGUAGGGAAUCUUCCGCAAUGGGUGAAAGCUUGACGGAGCAACGCCGCGUGAGUGAUGAAGGUCUUCGGAUCGUAAAACUCUGUUAUUAGGGAAGAACAAAUGUGUAAGUAACCAUGCACGUCUUGACGGUACCUAAUCAGAAAGCCACGGCUAACUACGUG
rnacentral:rRNA from 1 species